rnacentral:rRNA from 1 species
GACGAACGCUGGCGGCGUGCUUAACACAUGCAAGUCGAACGGAAAGGCCCUGCUUGUGUGUGGUGCUCGAGUGGCGCACGGGUGAGUAACACGUGAGUAACCUUCCCUUUACUUUGGGAUAACUUCAGGCAACUGGGGCUACUACCGGAUAGGAGCUCCUGCUGCAUGGGGGGGGUUGGAAAGUUUAGGCGGUUGGGGAAGGACUCGCGGCUUAUCAGCUUGUUGGUGGGGUAGUGGCUUACCAAGGCUUUGACGGGUAGCCGGCCUGAGAGGGUGAACGGGCACAAUGGGACUGAGAGACGGACCAGAGUCGUAUGGGAGGCAGCAGUGGGGAAUAUUGCACAGUGGGCGGGAGCGUGAUGAAGCAACGCCGCGUGCGUGAUGACGGCCUUCGGGUUGUAAACCGCUUUAGCCUGUGACGAAGCGGUAGUGACGGUAAUGGGUAAAGAAGCACCGGCUAACUACGUG